GUGAGCGUAGCUCAGUUGGUAGAGCUCCGGAUUGUGGUUCCGGCGGUCGUGGGUUCAAAUCCCAUCGCUCACCCCA
rnacentral:tRNA from 1 species